UCUGGUUUGAAUGCUUCCCACGUAUCUCCCC
rnacentral:piRNA from 2 species